GGCUGAGGCGGGUGGAUCACCAGAGGUCAGGGGUUCAAGACCAGCCUGGCCAACAUAGUGAAACCCCAUCUCUACUAAAAAUACAAAAAAUAAGCUGGGCGUGGUGGCACAUGCCUGUAAUCCCAGCUACUAGAGAGGCUGAGGCAGGAGAAUCACCUGAACCCAGGCAGCAGAGGUUGCAGUGAGUGGAAAUCAUGCCAUUGCACUCCAGCCUGGGCAACAAGAGCGAAACUCCAUCUCAAAAAUAAAAAAAUAAUAAUAAUAAAUCUGAUUGUGUUGCUCCUCGAAGGAAAGUUGUUCAAUGGCUCCCAGUAGCUUUUAAGUAAAUUUAAACUAGUUAGCACACAAAAGCAUCCCAACCUGGAUCUCCAGCCUUUUCUUAUCUCUAUAUCCCACUAUAUCUUUUUUUUUUUUUUUUUGAGACAGAGUCUUGCUCUGUUGCCCAGGCUGGAGUACAGUGGCACAAUCUCGGCUCACUGCAACCUCCGCCUCCUUGGUUCAAGUGAUUCUCCUGCCUCAGCCUCCUGAGUAGCUGAGACUACAGGCGCCCACCACCACGCGCAGCUAGUUUUUGUAUUUUUAGUAGAGACGGGGUUUCAUCAUGAUGGCCAGGAUGGUCUCGAUCUCCUGACCUCAUGAUCUGCCUGCCUCAGCCUCCCAAAGUUCUGGGAUUACAGGUGUAAGCCACCACACCCACCUACCCCACUAUAUCUUGUCCUCUAGCUAAGCAGAUUUCUUAAAUAAAUUCUGCAUUUUUCGUGUUCUUUUUUAUUUUUAUUAAGAUAGAGAUGAGGUCUCACUAUGUUGCCCAGGCUGGUCUUGAACUCCUAGGCUCAAGUGAUCCUCCCACCUCGGCCUCCCAAAGUGCUAGGAUUACAGGCAUGAGCCACAGUGCUCAGCCUUUCAUGUUCUUUUUGGACUUUACUACCUUCGUUUUCUCAGCCUAGAAUGUUCUUUCUCUUAUUUGCCUGAUUUUUCUUCUCUUACUUUUCCUACUUAGCAUCACCUUUUACAUGGUUGAGUUAGAUUUCUCUUCCCUGUAUUUCUGUUAGAGCCUUUCAUAUAUGAGUCAUUCAUUUAAAAAUGGACAAUUAACUUUCUAAGCUUCAAUAGCCUCGUCUGGAAAAUGGAGUUAAUAACUCAGUCAAAGCUCCCUUAUCUGAUUUCCACUUACCUGAGUCUUCAGAUGGAUCCUCCCAGUUCCCUGUGAAAAGCUUGAUGACCAGCAUCCACAUCAUGCUGAAUGCUCUCAACCAUGCUUGUGCACAACUCCUGCCAGUCAAUUGUGUAACAUAAUUUAUCUUACUUGUUAUUGUAAUUAAAUACAUGGACUAGAUAAGUUAUGAAAUAUGAAUACAAAAGAAGGAUUACUUCUGUGAAGAUUAAGCUGAAUGACUUGGAAUAACAAUAAAAAAGUUGCUAAAAAUAAUUGCUGUUGGUGAAAUAACAAAGACUAAAAAAAGUAACGAAAAAUUUAGAAAGAUUCAGCACUAUUUCUUAGUGUUUUAAUUCAUGGUCCGCUCCAAAAACCAAAACUAGAAAUCGGAGGUGAUGGGUUUGGUUUAUGCAGAAAAAAAAACGGUACUUCAAUCAGUAGACUUAUAAGGAAAAGGCCUUGGCCCUACAUAAAAAGCGAACAAGUAUAUAUUUGUAUGUUUUAAGUUAAAAUAAACAUGUCUAAAGUAUGUAUAUAUGUAUUUUUCAUAACUGUAAUUAAAUUUUUAGAUUAACCUACAAAUUACUGGUUCUAGUCAUAUCAGAUAAAUAGGUUUUUACCUCAUAGUGUUCUUGAUGGAUUCUGUAAAGCAAUUGAUACUAUGCCUGGCAUAUUGAAGGCAUUUGCUUUUCAAACACAGGAAUCCUAUGAGGGAGAUAGGAUAUCUUUUUAUUAUUUCCAUUUUACAGGUGACAAAUUAUGAUUUAUCCAAGAUCAUACACCAGUAAGUAACAGAACCAGGAAGAACCCAGAUCCUUAGUUUUCAGGGUCCACGCUCUUUCUACUGCAGCACCCAGUAGGGCUGUCUCCAUUGGGGCUACAAUAUAAAACUGCUUAACUUGAAUCCCAUCUGGACCUGUUACCCUACAUGUGAAAGAUCUUCAAAAUGUCUUUACAUAAGACAAGUUGGAGUCUUCAGAGUAUCAUUUAGAUGAUUAUCACUGUCUCUAUUCCAUUAUUUUACAAAGCUUUCCCACAUUACUCUCAUUGUCUAAAUAGUAUAUUUUAACAAGACUUUUUGAAUAUUAGAAGAAAUUUAAAAAUUAUUCCACCAUCACCAGAUGAGUCAGGAAGAGGAUAAACCUAAGUCUACUUAAGCCUACAAAGAGAUGAUAUUUCAAGUUUCAAAUGGCCUUCUGCAGAUGGAGGCUAAGCACAUUUUAAAACCCAGAAACUUACAUUUGGCUCCAGAAUUCAUCUGGCUGCUCAGGAAUCCUUCAAUAUAAUUCUUCUUCUUUUCUUUUCUUUUUUUUUUUUCUGAGAUGGAGUCUCGCUCUGUUGCCCAGGCUGGAGUGCAAUGGCGCGAUCUCGGCUCACUGCAAGCUCUCCUCCUAGGUUCACGCCAUUCUCCUGCCUCAGUCUCCCAAGUAGCUGGGACUACAGGCGCCUGCCACAACGCCUGGCUAAUUUUUUGUAUUUUUAGUAGAGACGGGGUUUCACCGUGUUAGCCAGGAUGGUCUCGAUCUCCUGACCACCCGCCUUGGCCUCCCAAUGUGCUGAGAUUACAGGCGUGAGCCAACGCGCCCGGCCAAUAUAAUUUUUAUUAAUACAAAAGUGAUUUUGGGGUUUAUAGCUAUUUCAGCCAUUUGCUGAACAGUCAAUUGGAUCUUAAACAGAGGUCAUACAUAUCAAGAAAGUAGAAAAAGUCUGAAAGCUUGAUCUGGUGAUAAAUGGUUCCAUUCUAGAGAAAAUUUUACAUUUUUAAUCAAAAUGUGGCAAUACUUCAGUGGUCUUCAAACUUUUUUGACCACAACCCCACAGUAAGAAAUACAUUUUUAUUAUUGCAUCCCAGAUAUAGAAGUCCCAUGAAACAAUACUUACCUCUUAUAUGCACUUUGAUAUUUUAUUUCAUUCUUCAAAAAAUGUGGUCAUAAUCCACUAAUUUUGCCAUUCAAUAAUGGGUUGCACCAGGCAGCAACCCAUUGGAAAAAAAUAAAGUUCUCUUUGGAACUUGAAGAAUAAGGAAAUUUGGGUGAAGUCAAGUUUGGAACACUAAAGACCACUUUAAAUUAGAUGUGGUGGACUUAUUUAAGAUUUUGACUAUAUUAUAGUAAUGAAUAACUCAGUGAAAAUAAUCAAGAACAACCAAUUUUCCAGAAAGGCAUUAGCCAAGAGUAUGACUUCUUUUCUCAGAUAUACUUUCUGGAAGACCAGAAAGUGCAAGAACCUGACAUUUGUAUCAUGAUAUAAUUGCAUACAUUCGUUCACCCAUUCACCAAGCACAUUUAAAGCAUGACCUCUGUGCAAGACCCUGUGCUACGGGCAUUGUGAACACAAAGCCUCUUCUUCUGAAGCCUUCUAGCCAUGAAGAAAAUGGCCAGCAGAAGUCAGAGAGGGCCAACCAAGAUUCCUACACCGAGGCUCAGCAUUUCACCUGUAGGAUACAAGGAUCCCAUCUGGAUGAAAAAAGCAAAGGUCAUUGUUGGUUGAGAGGCUGAGGGGCUCAGUAGUUCUGUACCAGGACUGGAGGGCCCCUCUUCUGUGGAUAACAAUGUCUCCUGAAGCUUUUCCAGCUGUUCCAUUGAAAUCUGGGCCCUUGCACUGAAAACUGUCCAGGGCACCCUCUACUAGCAAGGGGAAGUUGUGAGCAAGCUAGUGUAAAGGAAGAACUGCCCUAGCUGUCGGGGGAGCAGCUCUCUCACUGUGGUCUUCUGAUCUUUAUGCUUGAUUUCAUGCAAGUGAUCCAGAAUGUGUUCAUAAGCUAUGUUCUCUUUUUUUUUUUUUUUUUUUGGUCUCGCUCUGUUGCCCAGGCUGGAGUACAGUGGUGCAAUCUCAGCUCACUGCAACCUCCGCCUCCCGGGUUCAAGUGAUUCUCCUCCUACCUCAGCCUUUCGGGUAAACUGGGAUUACAGGCGCCCACUACCAGUCCGGCUAAUUUUUGUAUUUUUAAUAGAGAUGGGGUUUCACCAUAUUGGCCAGGCUGGCAUAAGCUACAUUCUUAGUCUCACUCACCUCAAUUAGGAUGCCCAGGACAGUCAGGCCCUGAGGCCUCUGAGCGGCCUCACUCAAGCUAUCACAGGAAUCAGAGUCGUAAUGUAUGAUGUGGAGCUCGGCAACUGUGGCUUCACUGUUGAUCUGGUGUUCUGAGCCCCCUGGGGAUCAUCCUGACCCCAGUGCAGGUGUAGCUGGGUAGCUACAUAUUUUCUGGAAAGUCCACCUAGAUACAGGGUAGAGGGCAGAGACAGUUGCACUGUGUAGCUAUUCUUGUGCAGGUCUAAAGGCUCGGUGCCAGGCCGGUCAUAUCCAUGGGGCUGUAGAGCAGUCAUCUAAGGGUCCAUUGUCACACUGUCUGUCUGGAUAUCGAAGGGGGACUGUGUAUUGUUUCCACACUCAGGGUAAAAGGCUGGCCACAGUGGUCCUGACUAUGUGGGCACUCAUAUGUCCAGUGUUGACCCUCGUCUGCAGCCAGGAUCCAAAUCGCCUCUAGCAGGAGGAUGAAGAACAACAUGGUAUCCCAGGAAGGGGCACAGGGGACUGGGAGUUUGGAGACUAGAUGACUAGGGAAGGCAGAGAGCGAGAGAUGGGGAGAGAGGCAGAGAGAGAGGUGAGUUCCUGGUGUUGAGUGUCUUUAUCCCUUUUUUUGUUGCUGUCUCUGUGUCUCUGUGGGUUUCCAAGGGAUUUGAUUUUCAGUAGGGUACCGUGGGUUUCUGGGUCCCCAGAACAAAUCUCUUGCUGCUUCUCUCAGCCCUCUCUCUUCAUCUCCCUCUGCAGUCUCCAUUCCACUUGAUGACCCAGUUAUUUCUUAUUCCUCUUGGAUUUCCAAGUUCUCCCUCUUCCUGGCUCCCUUUUGCUUCCAGAAACUGUAUUGCACCUUUCUUUCACUAUCCUUUUGGAAAAUAUAGUUGUACGUUCAAUGUAUGCAUUGCACCUCUGGUUCAUUCCAUAACUUAUUAUAGCCUGGCUUCUUCUCGCCCUUCAACUGAAAUUGCUCUAUUUAAAGAUACUAAAGAUCCCUUACUGGCUAACUUUAAUGAUCUCUUCCCCAUUUUACCCAAUUUGAUUCUUAAACAGCAUUUCCUACAGAGUUUAAUAAGUCACCUGAAAAAACAAUGCUGAGCUCAAAUAAGAUUGAGAAACAUCAGGUUGUAUAGCAUUGAGCAGAUUUCUUUACUGCAGCACUUAUUUAAGUUCAAAAUAUGCUAAUAAUCAUUGUGAUUUCCAAAAUGGGGAUAUGUUAAGUACAGUUUUCCAAACUUAUUUAUCAACAGAAUCCUUUUUAUAUGGAGCAUCUUGCAAAAUUAGUGUUCUGAGAGUCAUAACAUGGGAAACAAUGCUUAGUUGUUUUGAAUGUGGUCCAAGGACGCUUGCAUCAGAAUCAUUUUGGAUGCUGAUUGUUGAUAUAAAAAAUCAUCACCACGUCUUGCUAUGUCAGAAGCUCUUCUACCAGAAGCUGAAAGAGAACAGCCUUUCAAGGAACAUGGAGAAGUUAACAUGUGAGGAGGUCAGAACAAGAACACAGAGGGUGCCUUGGUCCCUAAUACUUUGGGGGCCACCAUAUUAUCCCUGGACUGCUUAGCAUGGACCGUUAUAUAACAGAGAAAUAAAUUUAUUUCCUGUAUAUGUCAUUGCUACUUUUGCCUUCGAUAAUGCAGCUGAUCUGAAAACUAAUUAAUUCAGAGAUAAAAAGAGAACGUAUGUUCUGACUAAUCAUGGUGAGUAGUCUCUGUUCUGUUCUUUAUAAUAAAGCAUGGAUUUCUCUGUUGUGAUUUCUUCCUAUUUAAGGUAAAAAGAUAAGGUCUUUGUUCUUUUUUUAUUUUUUUAAAUUUCAAUAUCUUUUGACGUACAAGUGGUUUUUGGUUACAUGGAUGAGGUCUAUAGCGGUGAAUUCUGAGAUUUUAGUGUACCCAUUACCCAAGCAGUGUACACUGUACCCAAUAUGUAGUCUUUUAUCCCUCACCCCUCUCCCAACCUUCCCUCUGGGUCCCCAAAGUCCAUUAUAUCACUCUGUAUAUCUUUGCAUCCUCAUAGCUUAGCUGAAUCAAGAUAUAUUUUAAAGGUAAAAAUGUUAACACUUGAUAAUGGAUUGGAUAUGCGGCAUUUAGAGAUUGGAUAGGUUGGAAUUUUUUAAACGUUCUGAAUUGUUAUUUAUGUUAGAAAUUGUCCAAAGCACUUUCAUUAAACUUCUGAUUUCUCUACUGUG